GGGUUGUGAGGUUAAGCGACUAAGCGUACACGGUGGAUGCCCUGGCAGUCAGAGGCGAUGAAGGGCGUGCUAAUCUGCGAUAAGCGCCGGUAAGGUGAUAUGAACCGUUAUAACCGGCGAUACCCGAAUGGGGAAACCCAGUGUGACUCGUCACACUAUCAUUAACUGAAUCCAUAGGUUAAUGAGGCGAACCGGGGGAACUGAAACAUCUAAGUACCCCGAGGAAAAGAAAUCAACCGAGAUUCCCCCAGUAGCGGCGAGCGAACGGGGAGGAGCCCAGAGCCUGAAUCAGCAUGUGUGUUAGUGGAAGCGUCUGGAAAGGCGCGCGAUACAGGGUGACAGCCCCGUACACAAAAGCGCAUGUGCUGUGAGCUCGAUGAGUAGGGCGGGACACGUGGUAUCCUGUCUGAAUAUGGGGGGACCAUCCUCCAAGGCUAAAUACUCCUGACUGACCGAUAGUGAACCAGUACCGUGAGGGAAAGGCGAAAAGAACCCCGGCGAGGGGAGUGAAAAAGAACCUGAAACCGUGUACGUACAAGCAGUGGGAGCCCCACCACCAAAGCAUUUGCUGUACCGCGUUGACGGAGCGAAGCGACGUCAAACCGAUAAAACAGCAGUGUAAAGUGAGCCGCAGGGCGCUUUGCGCGACAGCGCAAAGGCAGGCGGUUUCGCGUAGCGAAAGCGAAUGCUUUGGGGUGGGGUGACUGCGUACCUUUUGUAUAAUGGGUCAGCGACUUAUAUUCUGUAGCAAGGUUAACCGAAUAGGGGAGCCGGAGGGAAACCGAGUCUUAAUUGGGCGUUAAGUUGCAGGGUAUAGACCCGAAACCCGGUGAUCUAGCCAUGGGCAGGUUGAAGGUUGGGUAACACUAACUGGAGGACCGAACCGACUAAUGUUGAAAAAUUAGCGGAUGACCUGUGGCUGGGGGUGAAAGGCCAAUCAAACCGGGAGAUAGCUGGUUCUCCCCGAAAGCUAUUUAGGUAGCGCCUCGUGAAUUCAUCUCCGGGGUAGAGCACUGUUUCGGCUAGGGGCCAUCCCGGCUUACCAACCCGAUGCAAACUGCGAAUACCGGAGAAUGUUAUCACGGGAGACACACGGCGGGUGCUAACGUCCGUCGUGAAGAGGGAAACAACCCAGACCGCCAGCUAAGGUCCCAAAGUCAUGGUUAAGUGGGAAACGAUGUGGGAAGGCCCAGACAGCCAGGAUGUUGGCUUAGAAGCAGCCAUCAUUUAAAGAAAGCGUAAUAGCUCACUGGUCGAGUCGGCCUGCGCGGAAGAUGUAACGGGGCUAAACCAUGCACCGAAGCUGCGGCAGCGACACUGUGUGUUGUUGGGUAGGGGAGCGUUCUGUAAGCCUGUGAAGGUGUGUCGUGAGGCAUGCUGGAGGUAUCAGAAGUGCGAAUGCUGACAUAAGUAACGAUAAAGCGGGUGAAAAGCCCGCUCGCCGGAAGACCAAGGGUUCCUGUCCAACGUUAAUCGGGGCAGGGUGAGUCGACCCCUAAGGCGAGGCCGAAAGGCGUAGUCGAUGGGAAACGGGUUAAUAUUCCCGUACUUGGUGUUACUGCGAAGGGGGGACGGAGAAGGCUAUGUUGGCCGGGCGACGGUUGUCCCGGUUUAAGCGUGUAGGUGUGUGUUCCAGGUAAAUCCGGUUCACUUUAACACUGAGGCGUGACGACGAGGCACUACGGUGCUGAAGCAACAAAUGCCCUGCUUCCAGGAAAAGCCUCUAAGCAUCAGGUAACAUCAAAUCGUACCCCAAACCGACACAGGUGGUCAGGUAGAGAAUACCAAGGCGCUUGAGAGAACUCGGGUGAAGGAACUAGGCAAAAUGGUGCCGUAACUUCGGGAGAAGGCACGCUGACACGUAGGUGAAGUGAUUUACUCAUGGAGCUGAAGUCAGUCGAAGAUACCAGCUGGCUGCAACUGUUUAUUAAAAACACAGCACUGUGCAAACACGAAAGUGGACGUAUACGGUGUGACGCCUGCCCGGUGCCGGAAGGUUAAUUGAUGGGGUCAGCGCAAGCGAAGCUCCUGAUCGAAGCCCCGGUAAACGGCGGCCGUAACUAUAACGGUCCUAAGGUAGCGAAAUUCCUUGUCGGGUAAGUUCCGACCUGCACGAAUGGCGUAAUGAUGGCCAGGCUGUCUCCACCCGAGACUCAGUGAAAUUGAACUCGCUGUGAAGAUGCAGUGUACCCGCGGCAAGACGGAAAGACCCCGUGAACCUUUACUAUAGCUUGACACUGAACAUUGAGCCUUGAUGUGUAGGAUAGGUGGGAGGCUUUGAAGUGUGGACGCCAGUCUGCAUGGAGCCGACCUUGAAAUACCACCCUUUAAUGUUUGAUGUUCUAACGUGGACCCGUUACCCGGGUUGCGGACAGUGUCUGGUGGGUAGUUUGACUGGGGCGGUCUCCUCCUAAAGAGUAACGGAGGAGCACGAAGGUUGGCUAAUCCUGGUCGGACAUCAGGAGGUUAGUGCAAUGGCAUAAGCCAGCUUGACUGCGAGCGUGACGGCGCGAGCAGGUGCGAAAGCAGGUCAUAGUGAUCCGGUGGUUCUGAAUGGAAGGGCCAUCGCUCAACGGAUAAAAGGUACUCCGGGGAUAACAGGCUGAUACCGCCCAAGAGUUCAUAUCGACGGCGGUGUUUGGCACCUCGAUGUCGGCUCAUCACAUCCUGGGGCUGAAGUAGGUCCCAAGGGUAUGGCUGUUCGCCAUUUAAAGUGGUACGCGAGCUGGGUUUAGAACGUCGUGAGACAGUUCGGUCCCUAUCUGCCGUGGGCGCUGGAGAACUGAGGGGGGCUGCUCCUAGUACGAGAGGACCGGAGUGGACGCAUCACUGGUGUUCGGGUUGUCAUGCCAAUGGCACUGCCCGGUAGCUAAAUGCGGAAGAGAUAAGUGCUGAAAGCAUCUAAGCACGAAACUUGCCCCGAGAUGAGUUCUCCCUGAGACUUAGAGUCUCCUGAAGGAACGUUGAAGACGACGACGUUGAUAGGCCGGGUGUGUAAGCGCAGCGAUGCGUUGAGCUAACCGGUACUAAUGAACCGUGAGGCUUAACCUUACAACGCCGAAG
rnacentral:rRNA from 1 species